UUAGAUUUCAGUUACAGUAAUUUGAAUACGUACAUGACUUCAUAUAUGAGAUCUACAGGAUACAAUCCUGAUCUUAGAUAUACAGACUUUGUGUUCCUUACUUCAACUAAAUUUAUCCUACAGGGGUUUCUUCAGCCAUCACUGGGAUCUCUUUCUCGUAUUUUAGGAGCCAAGAUUUCCAUAUUAAUCGGUGCUGCUAUCUACAUUUCAGG